GCUUCUCGCUGGAGUGCGCACCGAGCGGCAGUGACUUCGCCGCUGCUGUAGUUCCCCGGCUGGAUGCGGUGACUGGUGCCAGUGCUCAGGCGCCCGCUGCCCUUGACCUCCCGCCCCGCGAGCCCUAACUCAGCGCAGGAGGACCGGCUGCCGCCGCCGCCGCCGCCAGAGCCUUGGCUGCCCAGUUGCCAGUCCUACCACGGUCGGAGGUAACCUUCCUGGCUCCAGUCACAUGGCCAGAUAAGGUGGUGUGUGUGGGCAUGAAUUAUGUGGACCACUGCAAAGAACAGAACGUGCCCGUGCCCAAGGAGCCCAUCAUCUUCAGCAAGUUUGCCAGCUCCAUCGUGGGGCCCUAUGAUGAGGUGGUCCUCCCACCACAGAGCCAGAUCCACACAACUUAAAGAUCUGCUGUCGAGUGAAUGGGGAAGUGGUCCAGAGCAGCAACACCAACCAGAUGGUAUUCAAGACAGAGGACCUGAUAGCCUGGGUGUCCCAGUGAGUGACAGGGGCUAUCCUGCCAGCCCCGCUCCACCUGCCACACAUGUGGAGGCUGACCUGAGCCCUCCACCUUUGGCUGUGGCCACCUCAGCCAGCCCCUGGUCUCACCGGGUCCUUUUGCUUUGCUCCAGGUCUCUGAAGGUCCAGACAGCACUGAUGGCGAGCUUUGGGUCCGCACACUCUGGAAAGAAGAGAGAAGUGAAGGCUCUAGGUAGGGAGAACAGAGAGCCACUGGGCACAGGCUUCUCUCCUCUUGUUUAAAGAAGCCCAGGGAGGGAUAGAGCUCUGACUGGACAGAAGACUGUACUCUGCAGCCUGCCUUCCUAGAGUUGGGUUGUCACUGUCCUGCAGGGGGCAGCAGCCACCAGCAAACACCACUGCCUGCAGGAGCCUGGGCUGACUGGUUGGGACUCACCGAAGAUCCCUUCUUCCUGGGCGGUGGCCUGCAGGAACUGGAACAGCUGCUCUGUGUAGCCCAACUCUGCAGAAGAGAGAAGACCUAGACCUGGCACCCAGCACAGACACAGCCUGCCUCGAGGACUGCAAGGGAACAAGGGCCUCACCAGUAUCGGGCAGCUGGCCCUGGCGGAGGAAGGCGGCAGCCUGUGCAAAGGCCUUGAGCAGCGGGCUGAGCAGGCGGCAGAGGAAAAGAAAGAAAUCUGGGCAGUGUGACUGCUGGCUGAGCUGGAGGGGACAGGCCGGGGUGAGUGCAGCUCCCCACCGCCUCCCUACCACCUCCCUCCAGGGGCAGCUUUUUGAAACACACCCUGAAGUACCGGCCGUCAGCCUCUCCGAAGUCAUCACUGUCACUAUCAGUAAAGUCCCCACUCGGUUUCCACA
rnacentral:lncRNA from 1 species